UACGUAGGGGGCAAGCGUUGUCCGGAUUUAUUGGGCGUAAAGAGCGUGUAGGCGGCCAGGUAGGUCCGUUGUGAAAACUGGAGGCUUAACCUCCAGCUGUCGAUGGAAACCAUCUGGCUAGAGUCCGGAAGAGGAGAGUGGAAUUCCUGGUGUAGCGGUGAAAUGCGCAGAUAUCAGGAAGAACACCCGUGGCGAAGGCGGCUCUCUGGGACGGUACUGACGCUGGGGUGCGAAAGCAUGGGGAGCGAACAGG
rnacentral:rRNA from 1 species